rnacentral:rRNA from 1 species
UACGGAGGGUGCGAGCGUUGUCCGGAAUCACUGGGCGUAAAGCGCACGUAGGCGGACUCUUAAGUCGGUGGUGAAAUCCUGGAGCUCAACUCCAGAACUGCCUUCGAUACUGGGAGUCUUGAGUCCGGGAGAGGUGAGUGGAACUGCGAGUGUAGAGGUGAAAUUCGUAGAUAUUCGCAAGAACACCAGUGGCGAAGGCGGCUCACUGGCCCGGUACUGACGCUGAGGUGCGAAAGCGUGGGGAGCAAACAGG